AGCGGCACCUCGGGGUGCCCAUUCGGGCUGAGACGCAGGAUGCGGACCCGUCGAACCUGAUCCGGUUGAACCCGGCGGAGGGAAGGUGCGUGCCUCUCGC
rnacentral:ncRNA from 1 species